rnacentral:lncRNA from 1 species
GGAGGGCUCCGGGUCCCCCCCCUUUCCCUGAGGGGCAUUUUUGGGGGGCUUCAGAUCCCCCCCCCUCCUUGGGGGGCAUUUUUGGGUAACUGCAGCCCCCCCCUAUAGAUGGCACUGCCCCAUUCGGAGCCCCCCCCGCACCCCCACCCCCCCCGGCGCCGCUUUUCCCUUUGGGUUUUCCAGUUGUGCCUUAACCGGGGAGCAGCGCUCAGUGGGACACCAAUGGGACCCCCCGUGUGACACCGAGGGGACACCAAUGGGACCCCAAUGGGACACCGGGACCCCCAGUGUGACACCAAUGGGACCCCCAGUGUGACACCAACGGGACACCAAUGGGACACCAAUGGGACCCAAAGUGUGACACCAAUGGGACACCAAUGGGACACCAAUGGAACACCAAUGGGACCGCCAGUGUGACACCAAUGGGACCCCAAUGGGACCCCAGUGUGACUCCAAUGGGACACCAAUGGGACCCCCCCUGUGACACCGAGAAGACACCAAUGGAACACCAAUGGGACCCAAAGUGUGACACCAAUGGGACACCAAUGGGACCCCAGUGUGACUCCAAUGGGACCCCCAGUGUGACACCAAGGGGACACCAAUGGGACCCCCCGUGUGACACCAACGGGACACCAAUGGGACACCGGGACCCAAAGUGUGACACCGAGAGGACCCCCAGUGUGACACAAAGGGGACUCCAAUGGGACACCGGGACCCCCACUGUGACACCGAGGGGACACCGAGGGGACACCGGGACCCCCAGUGUGACUCCAAUGGGACCCCAGUGAGACCCCCAGUGUGACUCCAAUGGGACACCAACGGGACACCGGGACCGCCAGUGUGAUACCAGUGGGACCCCAGUGAGACCCCCAGUGUGACACCGAGGGGACACCGAGGGGACCCCAAUGGGACCCCAGUGUGACUCCAAGGGGACACCAAUGGUUCCCCCAGUGUGACACCGAGGAGACACCAAUGGAACACCAAGAAGACACCAAUGGGACCCCCAGUGUGACACCAGUGGGACACCAAUGGGACACCAAUGGGACACCAAUGGGACACUGGGACCCAAAGUGUGACACCGAGAGGACCCCCAGUGUGACACCAAUGGGACACCAAUGGGACACUGAGGGGACACCAAUGGGACCCACAGCGCCCCAAUGUGACACUGAGGGGACAGUGGGACCCCCAGCACUUUGAGGUGACCCCAAAGGGACCCCCAAUGUGACACUGAGGGGACACCAAUGGGACCCACUGUGCCCCAAUGUGACACUGGGGGAGCAGUGGGACCCCCGGCACUCUGAUGUGACCCCGAGGGGACCCCCAGUGUGACACUGAGGGGACCCACUGUGCCUCAAUGUGACCCCGAGGGGACCCCCAAUGUGACACUGUGGGGACAGUGGGACCCCCCAGCAGUUCGCGGUGACCCCGAGGGGACCCCCAAUGUGACACUGAGGGGACAGCGGGACCCACAGCGCCCCAAUGUGACACUGGGGGGACAGUGGGACCCCCACCACUCUGAUGUGACACUGAGGGGACCCCCAGUGUGACACUGAGGGGACAGUGGGACCCCCCACCACUUCGAGGUGACCCGGAGGGGACCCCCACCACUCUGAUGUGACCCCGAGGGGACCCCCGAUGUGACACUGAGGGGACAGUGGGACCCCCAGCACUCUGAUGUGACCCCGAGUGGCCCCACACGGCUCCAUGGGACCCCACUGUGGGGCAGUGGUGGUUAUGCGGGGGGGUCGGGGGCUGCUGCCCCCCCCCACAGCCGCCCCCUGCAGAGCUGUCCCCCCCCCC